ensembl:lncRNA
AGUGUGUGUGUGUGUGUGUGUGUGUGUGUGUGCAUGUGCAGGGCCGUGUGGACUAGGCCAGGCCACACGGACAAGGGGAAAGUGGCUAAGCCGUGGGGAUUCCUUAGUCCACCACCGGGGGAAGGGCUCACCUGGGCACCUGCAUCCCUCUGCUUGGCGGGAUGGAGGAUCCAGAGUUUGUGCUCUCUGGGUGCUGACAGGCCUGGGGCGGCCGCGAGCUCGCCUUGCUGGCAGGCCGUUGUUCCUCCCGUCAGCGUCGGCAGGUCCAGCGCACGUGUGGUUCUGGAAGCCUGAUCUUCCUGUGGAAACAGCCGGACAUGCGGUGCUCAUUUACACAAAGAAUCCGCACAAAGGCCCGGAAGAGCUGGCUUUAGUUUUGCACUUGAAUUGCUUUUCUUCUGUUGCAGCCUGUGUGCCUGCAUGCAGCCUGUGUGCAAUCUGUGUGCAUCCUGUGUGCUGGAGCAGCGGCUGGUGAUUAGAAGGUGAUUUCAUGUUCACGGUGCCCUCUACCCAGUGUGGCGGUGGUGGAGACGGUUCACAGGAGGAGGUGGUGGCUCUCAGGAUGUGGGUCAGGAGGGCCCCUCGGGCUGUGGUCCCAGGAAGCAGCAUUGCUGACCCCCUCCUAAGUUCAUUUCCCUCUCUUUUCAAUCUUCUCUAGUCCCGGCUAUUUUCUGGGGUCAACAGCAGAUCCAAGAUCAUCUCAGCAACUCUCUGCCUGAAAACAAGCUCUGGGAGGGCACCGCCCAGGUCACCUCCGGCUUCUGGAGCAACGGUGCUGGAAGGGCUCAACCCCCGGACCCAGGCUUCGGGAUCCAUUAAAACGUGAAGUCACCUGCGCCCUGAGCAGGCGCUGUUGCAGGAGAGCGCCUUGGCCAUGGCCCCCAGCGGACACCCCGCCAGGCUCUUCCAGCUCCGCUCAUGAGGGUGAGCACUGGCAGGGAACCAGGAUGGCUCUGGGCUGAAAUUGAGGGGCCUUGAUGUGAAAUCCCAGGGAUGGGUCCGGGAGGGGAGAGUCACUUUCCUGUGGCCCGAGUCUGUCUUGUGACAGUGGCUCAGCUGAGUGUGCAGGACCUGCUCCUUCCCUCCCGGUGCCUGGAGUGGGUGGGGGCGCGGGGUGUCACCUGCUUCUUGCGUCCUCACCCUGCACAGGACCUGGAGCAUGUGUCUACCUCUUUAGGGAAAGUUCAAAGCCAAACAGAGUUGUUUCCUCUGCUGCCCGCGUGCACUCUCUGGGGACCUAAUCACAGCGCCCCUGCCCCAAGCAUCUACCAUCACUCCGCAAACACUCCUUCCGGCUUCAGCUUUCUACCUGCUCCACAGUCUGAAUCUUGGCAAUUUGGGGUUUGCAACGAAGAUAUAUUUAUUGUCUCUCUGUUUCUCUCCUGUGAUCGUUCAUCUAUUAUUGCACGAGGAACAUAAAUGAACUGUUUGACGGACCCCAGACCCCGAAGGAACUGCACUGGAUGCUGAGCAAACUGAAGAAGGAGGCUUCAGGUAUAUUUGAAAGGAAACCACGAUCUGCUCUUAAUGCUCAGAGGCGGCUGGAACUGUCAGCGUUAUCCUACCACCCAGGGCAAGAUGACAUGGUCACACUCCUCCUCCUGGGCUCCUGAAUCCACGGGUGACACACAAGACAGGCAGGUGUCCACCUUGUGCUCCAGGCCACUCCCUCACCCUGGACAGAAGCCACAUGCAAGGGGCUGGGGUCCCACCUGUCCCGCCUACGCUGGCUUGAGCCCAGAUGAGAGGUGACUGUGUCCCCUGGGUGGACAGUCCAGGGCAGCUGUGCUGUUUUGGGUCCCUGCUCUGGGAAGCCAGGGCCCCCGUGACUGCGUGAGGUCUCCGGGUGGUUUAGGCAGUCAGUUCCAGCAGAGUGGCAGCAGAGCUAGUGGAGGGUCUGGAAGGCUCUGUGGCUACGGGGCUGGGGAAGGAAAGCUGGCUGUCACCCCCAGUCCCUCCCAGAAGCCGGCUGCAGUGAGGUGCACGGUGCUUGGCCCCAGAGGGGCACUGGAGCCUGGACGCCAACCGGCCUGCGUGUCCCUGCCACCUGGCUGCGAGCUCAGGUCCCAGGUUUUGGGAAGAUGCCCCCAGGCUCUGUUCAGACCUGCAAGGCCCUGGGCACAUGCCAGAUGGACCGAGGGCAGGCUCAGCCCAACCUGGAGACUCUUUGCACCACGGACAGGAUGCCUGGGCCUCAGGCUUUCAUCCUUUUCCACGGUCAGGGCCUAGAUUUCUGAGGUCAUGUUGGCAACAGCCUCACAGGGCUGCCCGGAUGCCUGGUGGGAUGGCUGACCCGAUGGCGAGCUGCCUCCGGUCAUUCCUUAGCCCAUGUUUGGCUGUUGUCCCCUUUCCUGCGCCUGCGCUCUGCGUCUCGGGAUCAGUGGUCAACUUAAUGACUCGGACUCGCCUCGAACUUGGGGCCAGAGAGCCUGGUCCUGAGGGCAGUGCUGUGACCCUGAGGAGCUGUCAAGAGGCCUGAACUGAAGUUUGUGGGUAACCUUGCACGUUACCUUCAAAAUGAGGGCUCUGGGGUGAAGGGAGCAGUGAGUCCCUGGCGAUCGUGGCUGCCCUGACUGGACUCGCGGUCCUGUGUUAUCUAAAGAGCGUCGUGUCUGCUAGGAGGCUCUUGCUGAUGGUCAAACAGAAAUGCUUAAGCAAAGAGAUGCUUAAUAAUAUUAACCAACUGAUCAAUAUUAAUUAAGAAUAUGAUAAUAAAUAGAUACUAAGUAAUAAUUAAUGAUAAAUA